rnacentral:rRNA from 1 species
GAGUUUGAUCGUGGCUCAGAUUGAACGCUAGCGGGAUGCUUUACACAUGCAAGUCGAACGGCAGCGGGUCCUUCGGGAUGCCGGCGAGUGGCGAACGGGUGAGUAAUGUAUCGGAACGUGCCCAGUAGCGGGGGAUAACUACGCGAAAGCGUGGCUAAUACCGCAUACGCCUUUAGGGGGAAAGGCGGGGAUCCUUCGGGACCUGUCACUAUUGGAGCGGCCGAUAUCGGAUUAGCUGGUUGGUGGGGUAAUGGCCUACCAAGGCGAUGAUCCGUAGCUGGUUUGAGAGGACGACCAGCCACACUGGGACUGAGACACGGCCCAGACUCCUACGGGAGGCAGCAGUGGGGAAUUUUGGACGAUGGGGGCAACCCUGAUCCAGCCAUCCCGCGUGUGCGAUGAAGGCCUUCGGGUUGUAAAGCACUUUUGGCAGGGAAGAAAUUGCCUGGGUUAAUAGCCUGGGCCGAUGACGGUACCUGCAGAAUAAGCACCGGCUAACUACGUGCCAGCAGCCGCGGUAAUACGUAGGGUGCGAGCGUUAAUCGGAAUUACUGGGCGUAAAGCGUGCGCAGGCGGUUCGGAAAGAGAGAUGUGAAAUCCCAGGGCUCAACCUUGGAACUGCAUUUUUAACUACCGGGCUAGAGUGUGUCAGAGGGGGGUGGAAUUCCGCGUGUAGCAGUGAAAUGCGUAGAGAUGCGGAGGAACACCGAUGGCGAAGGCAGCCCCCUGGGAUAACACUGACGCUCAUGCACGAAAGCGUGGGUAGCAAACAGGAUUAGAUACCCUGGUAGUCCACGCCCUAAACGAUGUCAACUAGCUGUUGGGGCUUUCGGGCCUUGGUAGCGCAGCUAACGCGUGAAGUUGACCGCCUGGGGAGUACGGUCGCAAGAUUAAAACUCAAAGGAAUUGACGGGGACCCGCACAAGCGGUGGAUGAUGUGGAUUAAUUCGAUGCAACGCGAAAAACCUUACCUACCCUUGACAUGUC